rnacentral:rRNA from 1 species
UACAGAGGUCCCGAGCGUUGUUCGGAUUUAUUGGGCGUAAAGGGUGCGUAGGUGGCCAAGUAAGUUGGAUGUGAAAUCCUGGGGCUCAACCUCAGAAUUGCAUUCAAUACUGCUUAGCUAGAGAGCUGUAGAGGAGACUGGAAUUUACGGUGUAGCAGUGAAAUGCGUAGAUAUCGUAAGGAACGCCAGUGGCGAAAGCGAGUCUCUGGGCAGCGUCUGACACUGAGGCACGAAGGCCAGGGGAGCAAACGGG